GGUUUUCUAAAAUGGCGUCCACCAGGUGGCGCACUGAGUCGUCAGGUCCAGGUAACUGUCAAAGUGCUUAUCUUUACUAUGAAUAGUGAACGAUUUUAGUGUUUUUUUUUAUUUUAUAAUUAAAGCUCUGCAUUAUUGUUUUACUAUUGCGGUUGAGUAAAUAAAAAAAACUAAAUCAUAUUGUGUUAACAAAUUUUUCAACAAGCUUUUCCUUAGUACCAGUGACUUUUGCACCCUCUCUCUUAGCUCAAUUUUUAGUUCGGAAACCUUAUUCUGACCGUAGUCCAUAAUAAAAUCAAUAACACUUCCAAAAUAACAGAAUUUCAAUAAACAAUAAGUUCGGCACCUACAAUUCCAUACUAUUUGACAGCUGUUUGGACCUGACGCAUACGAAGCGCCGCCUGGCGGCAGAAAAAGUAUCGAAAACCCUCAUUGCAAACA